CCUACGGGUGGCAGCAGUGAGGAAUAUUGGUCAAUGGACGAGAGUCUGAACCAGCCAAGUAGCGUGAAGGAUGACUGCCCUAUGGGUUGUAAACUUCUUUUAUAUGGGAAUAAAAUGUUCCACGUGUGGGAUUUUGUAUGUACCAUAUGAAUAAGGAUCGGCUACCUCCGUGCCAGCAGCCGCGGUAAUACGUAGGAUCCGAGCGUUAUCCGGAUUUAUUGGGUUUAAAGGGAGCGUAGGUGGAUUGUUAAGUCAGUUGUGAAAGUUUGCGGCUCAACCGUAAAAUUGCAGUUGAAACUGGCAGUCUUGAGUACAGUAGAGGUGGGCGGAAUUCGUGGUGUAGCGGUGAAAUGCUUAGAUAUCACGAAGAACUCCGAUUGCGAAGGCAGUUCACUGGACUGCAACUGACACUGAGGCUCGAAAGUGUGGGUAUCAAACAGGAUUAGAUACCCCAGUAGUC
rnacentral:rRNA from 1 species